AAGAGAAGUGCCAGCAGCUAUAAAAGGCAAUUAAGGCCGUUGAUCCAGAUCAAGAAUUACCAUAAUCUGAUACUGGGAAAAGCUUUCCAGCUAAGCUUAGCUCAGCUCAGCUCUCUCUCUCUUGCUCGCUCUCUCGCUCUUACUCUCUCUCUAGCUGUCGCAUACACCUACAUGAAUACAAUAUACCCUUGAACUCUACGCAGAGUGCCGGGAAUAAAAAAACAACAUCUGCAAAGCUUCCCCCGCCACUCUGAUUAUGCACAUAUGUACAUACACACAUACAUACGUACGUACAUAUAUGUUUGCUUAAAUUAGUUCAGUGUGGAAAAAGUGAUAUAUCCCAAUACAUACAUACAUAUGUAGAUACAGGUACAAUAUGUACGAGUACUCGUACAUACUCAUAGUAGACCCGGCACAAAAAUAGCGCUCUUGGCGUGCUUUGAGCCACUGACCGCACAGGGUAAGCCGGCACCCGUCUGCCGAUGCAGUGUAUGCAAUAAGAUAUGUAAUAAGAUAUGUGUCUGUCUGCAAACAGCACAACAAGCAGACCAGUGUUGCCCAUAUAAAAUAAACCACGGUUCAGAUCUGACGUAAUAUGGCGUUAAAACGGGCCUGCAUUCGCCAAUACACACAUACAAUCUAUGCACAUACAUACAUAGAUAUCCCCGUACAUCCGCGGAUGCUGUGCUUUUUUGUUUGUUUGCCGUUUGCAUCUCUCUCGCUCUCUCUUGCUCAUCCAGCCACCCACCUUUCGGGGCAGGCGCAUGCGCACGCGACCGUGACUGACUGUUGAAUAUCGCAGUGACUACUGGAGAGUGAAUGAUUAAACAACUAGUAGCUGGUCAAUGUGUCGCCAGGGUAGGGAUCAACAAUUCGUGGAAGCUGUGAAAGGAAGACCUAUAAAUAGCAGAUUGGCGGAACUUUAUAAACUUUGCGGCUGAUGGUGAUUAAGCGCAUAUGUUUUGAUAACCAGAAAAGAAAGGAUUUUCAAGCCGAAGUUCAGCAUCAUUAGAACAUAUUUACUUACAUAUCUUUCCAUUGUAAUCUUUAUUUAUUUAACGUAAAAAGAACGAUCGGUGGAAAGUUGGCACAAGAACUCCAUUCUUUUAAAUAAUCAAAACAAAAUCGUAUGACAUAUGAGGAUAGGGUUCUGAUUUUCCCUUCUUGCUUCUUUACAUCAUUUUUAGAACGAAAUUUUUCUAAUUUCUGUGGUAAAAUAAACAGAUGUGACCAUGACAAAGUUUUGGAAAUGGGUACUUAAAUGGACAAAGCAUUUUGGUGUACUUUUUAAGUCCAUUGUUAACUUUGAGAACCAAGUUUAUGUAUGUUUAUACAUAUGUAUGUAUGGUUUAUUCAUUCUCAUUAAAAGCAAACCAUAACCUGUCCUAA